CGAAAAAUGAAAGAAGCAAUCUGAUUGGUUGCUAUGGGCAACUGGGCAACUUUUCCUCUGGACAGCGACUAAAGUCUUCCAUAUUCCUUGUGCCCUGGCAUCCUGGCAUUGACUGAUGGCAUUUUGCAGAGUAUCUGAAGUAGAUGAGAACAGAGAACAAUAGCUCCAAGCGGCCCAAGUGGUAGAUAACACAGUAGACUGGAGCUGAAGAUUCCUCUAUACAGAAGAGGUGGAUGUGAUCCUGUGAGGAGCUGUCCGAUCAGCACCAGCCCGAUCCGAUCAGCACCAGCCCGAUCCGAUCAGCACCAGCCCGAUCCGAUCAGAACCAGCCC